rnacentral:rRNA from 1 species
GACGAACGCUGGCGGCGCGCCUAACACAUGCAAGUCGAACGGAGUCUUUUUUGAAAGCUUGCUUUUUGGAAGACUUAGUGGCGGACGGGUGAGUAACACGUGAGCAACCUGCCUUGAAGAGGGGGAUAACGUCUGGAAACGGACGCUAAUACCGCAUGAUAUAACUUGAUGGCAUCAUCUUGUUAUCAAAGGGAGCAAUCCCGCUUUGAGAUGGGCUCGCGCCUGAUUAGGUAGUUGGUAGGGUAACGGCCUACCAAGCCUGCGAUCAGUAGCCGGACUGAGAGGUUGACCGGCCACAUUGGGACUGAGACACGGCCCAGACUCCUACGGGAGGCAGCAGUGGGGGAUAUUGCACAAUGGGGGGAACCCUGAUGCAGCGACGCCGCGUGGGUGAAGACGGACUUCGGUUUGUAAAGCCCUGUUGCAGAGGACGAUAAUGACGGUACUCUGUUAGAAAGCCACGGCUAACUACGUGCCAGCAGCCGCGGUAAUACGUAGGUGGCGAGCGUUGUCCGGAAUUACUGGGUGUAAAGGGAGCGUAGGCGGGAAUGCAAGUCGGAUGUGAAAUGUCCAGGCUUAACUUGGACCGUGCAUCCGAAACUGUGUUUCUUGAGUGGUGUAGAGGCAGGCGGAAUUCCUAGUGUAGCGGUGAAAUGCGUAGAUAUUAGGAGGAACACCAGUGGCGAAGGCGGCCUGCUGGGCACUAACUGACGCUGAGGCUCGAAAGCGUGG